AGGUUAAGCGAAGAAGAGCGUAUGGCGGAUGCCUGGCCACCAGGAGGCGAAGAAGGACGCAGCAAACGGCGAAAC
rnacentral:rRNA from 1 species